GUAGGUGGCAAGCGUUGUCCGGAAUUAUUGGGCGUAAAGCGCGCGCAGGCGGUUCUUUAAGUCUGAUGUGAAAGCCCACGGCUCAACCGUGGAGGGUCAUUGGAAACUGGAGAACUUGAGUACAGAAGAGGAAAGCGGAAUUCCACGUGUAGCGGUGAAAUGCGUAGAGAUGUGGAGGAACACCAGUGGCGAAGGCAGCUUUCUGGUCUGUAACUGACGCUGAGGCGCGAAAGCGUGGGGAGCAAACAGGAUUAGAUACCCUGGUAGUCCACGCCGUAAACGAUGAGUGCUAAGUGUUAGGGGGUUUCCGCCCCCCUUAGUGCUGCAGCUAACGCAUUAAGCACUCCGCCUGGGAGUACGGCCGCAAGGCUG
rnacentral:rRNA from 1 species